rnacentral:rRNA from 1 species
CCUGGUACUGGGGGACAACGUUUCGAAAGGAACGCUAAUACCGCAUACGUCCUACGGGAGAGAGCAGGGGAUCUUCGGGCCUUGCGCUAUCAGAUGAGCCUAGGUCGGAUUAGCUAGUUGGUGGGGUAAAGGCUCACCAAGGCCACCAUCCGUAACUGGUCUGACAGGAUGAUCAGUCACACUGGAACUGACACACGGUCCAGACUCCUACGGGAGGCAGCAGUGGGGAAUAUUGGACAAUGGGCGAAAGCCUGAUCCAGCCAUGCCGCGUGUGUGAAGAAGGUCUUCGGAUUGUAAAGCACUUUAAGUUGGGAGGAAGGGCAUUAACCUAAUACGUUGGUGUUUUGACGUUACCGACAGAAUAAGCACCGGCUAACUCUGUGCCAGCAGCCGCGGUAAUACAGAGGGUGCAAGCGUUA